GAUGAACGCUAGCGGCAGGCCUAACACAUGCAAGUCGAGGGGUAGCAGGAUUAAGCUUGCUUAAUUGCUGACGACCGGCGCACGGGUGCGUAACGCGUAUGCAACCUACCUUAUACUGGGGUAUAGCCCGGAGAAAUUCGGAUUAAUCCCCCAUAGUACUAAUGAAUCGCAUGGUUUAUUAGUUAAAGCAUUGCGGUAUAAGAUGGGCAUGCGUCCUAUUAGCUAGAUGGGGAGGUAACGGCUCACCAUGGCUACGAUAGGUAGGGGGCCUGAGAGGGGGGUCCCCCACACUGGUACUGAGACACGGACCAGACUCCUACGGGAGGCAGCAGUGAGGAAUAUUGGGCAAUGGGCGCAAGCCUGAACCAGCCAUGCCGCGUGCAGGAAGAAUGCCCUAUGGGUUGUAAACUGCUUUUAUUUGGGAAUAAACCUCUUUACGUGUAGAGAGCUGAAGGUACCAAAUGAAUAAGCACCGGCUAACUCCGUGCCAGCCGCCGCGGUAA
rnacentral:rRNA from 1 species